rnacentral:rRNA from 1 species
GAUGAACGCUAGCGGCAGGCCUAAUACAUGCAAGUCGAACGAUAGUUUCCAGCUUGCUGGGGACGAAAAGUGGCGCACGGGUGCGUAACGCGUAUGCAACCUACCUUAAUCAGGGGGAUAGCCCGAAGAAAUUCGGAUUAACACCGCAUAAAAACACAGGGUAGCAUUACCUCAUGUUCAAAUAUUUAUAGGAUUAAGAUGGGCAUGCGUGUCAUUAGCUAGUUGGCGGGGUAACGGCCCACCAAGGCGACGAUGACUAGGGGAUCUGAGAGGAUGACCCCCACCACU